CUUUUACACUGAUAAGUUUUCUUUAAAUGUGUGUGUUUGUUUCUUUUUAAAGUAAGCUCUAUGCCCAAUGUGGGGCCUGAACUCACAACCCCAAGAUCAAGAGUCACAUGCUCUAUUGACUGAGGCAGCCAGGCAGUCCCAGAUGCAUUAGUCUCUUAAAUCAUGUAGAAAACAAAAAGUACUAUUACAAACCAUUGUUAUAGUUAUACUGGCUUUUAUAAUUGUCCAUACAUUUAUUUGCCUUUAUUGAAAUUUUUGUUUCUCAAUAGGGCUUCUGGUUAAUAUCUAGUGCCCUUUUGUUUCCUGUUGCAGGACACAUCUAAUGGUCAUGAACUCCCUCAGUUUUUGUUACCUGGGAAUGUCCUAACUUCUUCACUUUUGAAGGGCUGCACUGUCCACUAAGGUCACCAUUAGCUACAUGUCCCAACUGAGUGUUUAAAUUGUGGCUGGUCCCAACUGCAAGUGUCGGAAGUAUCAAGUGCCGCAUCUUGAAAACGCUCCCUUCCCGGACUACAUGCGAGGCUCUGGGAGCACAGACACCACUAUCUUCCUGGAACCCUCAGACGACAGUAGCACCAUGAUGCCAGGACUAGAAAACUCAAAUGCCACCUAUCCUGGCCAAGAGCACAGAAGCUGGCCCGGGAAGAGCUGCCGCACUGCUCUCACUCCAGGGCCCAUCACAGGCCCAGGGCACCAGCCUUCCCCUCCAUCCUGGCCUCCCCGUCAUCAGCCCCACUGAAGCAAGAGGGGGAAUGCUCCCCCUCCCCUCCACACCUUAGGGACAGGACCUGGAUGAGGGCAGACUAGAGUUUUAAACUGCUAAAACAGUUCAGCAGUUUAAUCUUAACCCUUAAAGUUUAGGUAAGUUCAUGACUUAAGGAAAAUUUCUGGACCUCAGAGUCCCUGACUAUAUAGACACGGCUGCUGGUUUAACUCCUAUUUUGUCUGCUGGACCCUCAAGCCCCUUCCUGCUGGGGUGACAAGAGGCAAAAUGGACCAAUUCCUCUUAGAAAGCCAGCACCUAAGAUCUGAUAAGAGAUUCUUACUGCCAGAGGCCACCUGAGAAAUGUGGGCCAUCCCUGCUUCACGAGUCCAGCUGGAAGAGAGAAUCCUGAGGGAAGGUCUAUAAACCUGUAAGUACCUAGGACCCUAUCCUGUUCAUAGGGAGCUGAAUUAAAUCUCUAGGGUCAAUCCUGAGUCUAUAGCUUUUAAAAAAGGACUCUGGCACCAGGGUGGCUCAGCCGGUUAAGUGGCUGCCUUCGGCUCAGGUGAUGAUCCGGGGGUCCUGGGAUCGAGCCCCACGCUGGGCCCCCUGCUCUC